UUAUGGCCAUAUCACACUGAAACAUCAGUUCUCAUAUGAUCCCCAAAGUUAAGCAACAUUGAGCCUGGUCAGUACCUAGAUGAAAUGACCACUUGAAAAUACCAGGUGCUGUAAG